rnacentral:rRNA from 1 species
GACGAACCGUGCGAACGUUGUUCGGAAUCACUGGGCUUAAAGGGCGCGUAGGCGGGCUGCAAGUCUGUGGUGAAAUCCUCCAGCCCAACUGGAGAACGGCCGUGGAUACUGCGAGUCUCGAGGGAGGUAGGGGCGUGCGGAACAGAUGGUGGAGCGGUGAAAUGCGUUGAUAUCAUCUGGAACUCCGGUGGCGAAGGCGGCACGCUGGACCUCAUCGUGACGCUGAGGCGCGAAAGCUAGGGGAGCAAACGGG